rnacentral:lncRNA from 1 species
ACUUGAGGAUUGUGUAUUUGGUGUAAUUACUCAAACGGAAAAAAUUAUAUAUAAACUUAGGGCUUUCCUUAUUUUCAAGCUUGAUUGGAUAAUUAGUGACAGCCAAAAGCCCAACGUUUUCUUGAUGCAAACUCUUUCAAUCCCAACAACAGUUAGAAUCUGGAGAAUCAAGGGAAAGGGUAUAGGAGUUGUAGAAGUUAAUUAAGGUACCAGACUGUGAUAGUCAUGAGCCAAGAUAAGCUUGGUGCUUCUUCUUUUCUUUUGUUUGUUAUUUUCUUUGAAUAAGAGGAUUGAGAGUUUCUGAAUAUUGUGAAGUGAAUUAUGGAAUGAAAAUGUAAUUGGUAUUAUUUGAGAAGAAAAAAGAUUGAAUGCUGAAAUCUGAUUGUAUUUCACAACAGAGAGAAUGAGUCUAUGUUUGUGUGAAACACUGUAAUGUGAAUGGCAGUUCUGUGUGAAGAAUUCCAGUGAUUGGAAUGAGGGUAAUUGUGUACUGAAAGCUGUGAGGGCACAGUAUUAUAGUUGGAGAUUAUGAGGGUGAAUAUAUUGGUAGAAAUAGCAGUUAUUGAUAUGACUAAAUUGCUGCAAAGAAGAGACCGAUAAGGUGAAGGAGGAGAUUAUAGUUUCUUUGUGU